UACAGAGGGGGCAAGCGUUGUUCGGAAUUACUGGGCGUAAAGGGCGCGUAGGCGGCCUGUUAAGUCGAACGUGAAAUCCCCGGGCUCAACCCGGGAACUGCGUCCGAUACUGGCAGGCUUGAAUCCGGGAGAGGGAUGUGGAAUUCCAGGUGUAGCGGUGAAAUGCGUAGAUAUCUGGAGGAACACCGGUGGCGAAGGCGGCAUCCUGGACCGGUAUUGACGCUGAGGCGCGAAAGCUAGGGGAGCGAACAGG
rnacentral:rRNA from 1 species